AGGGAAUAAAGGUACAAAUCUCUUGGCUCUAGAAUGAUCUUGGAUAUUGGCAAUCAAGGCUGAGUAUUUAGAACUCUGAAUGGAAACAGAAGGAGAGACUAUUGAGAAAGAAACCAGGAUUUAAGAGAGAACCACCUCUUUCUUGGGAGUAUGAGAAAGCACUGGAGCGCCUGGAAGACCAGAGAAAAGGACUUUCAGACCCAAGCAACGGCUAAGGAGCAGGGGAAAGGAAGCAGCAGCGUCUCCUUGCAGAACGACAACCCUGAGGAUACAGCAGUUGUCUUCAAAUCUGUGACCAUAAAAAAUCAUUAUCUCUGUGAAAUACAGCAAUUUGGGAGAUAAUCAAACGGUGACCAGGGGGCAGAGCUGCCAAUCUGAAGGAUUAUGCUCCCGCGCGCCCGCCUGCGCCUGACCUUCCUGGGAGCCAGCUGUCGGCGCGGCGAAGACGCCCCAUCCACUCCGGGCACAUUCAUUAGGCUGCCUUCGGUGCAUGAGCCAUUUGCAUAACACCCCAGCUUUCUUAAUUAGUACUUCAUUUCUCCCUUGACUUAUUUUGUGGCUAAGUUCACUGUCCCCCCUCCUCGAUCCUCUCUCUUCCCUUGCUGAAAUAGAUGGAGGAGGAGAGGAGGUGGGCCGGGAGGGUGAGAAGGAGAAACGAAUCGGACUUGCAAAUUAAGGCACUGGUAAUUAGUCUAUUAAUAUUUUCAGAUUUGAGCGAGGUUUCUUCGUGGAGAAACUAGAAAGAGAGACUGCUGGGGGAGAAAUUUAGCGUCGAAACUUCUAAUUCCACUACCCGCCAAUGGGCUGCGGGAGGGAUAGGCGGUGCAAGCACAUUUGCCUCCUUCUUACUUAGGAUACACCCUAUCAGGGGGGUGCUGAGUGCCUGGUGUUGGGCUUUCAGAAUUAAUAUUAAUUCCAUCAGAGGGAGGGAUCAUGUCUAUCCACUCAUCAUUGAGCUGGUCUCGAAUUCUAAUGGGGAUUUGGGCGAAUGUUGUCUCAGCAGUUCCAUGCAUUUCCAAGUUCUCACUCUGAACUCUCUUGCUGGAUUAUUGUAAUGUGAGUGAAAUGAAAAGAAGGGCAAAAGUAUUCAGUAUGUGAUUAUUAUAUUUCUUCGGGAGGGAUAAUUCAGAUCCAAACAAAAUCAAACUACUCUUUCCUAAAGUUAUGGUUUGUUUUACCUGAUCUGAGGAGUAGAAAUGCCUUACCUUCCCCAGGUGAUAGCUACAGCCUGCGAGAUUAGGAAAUCUCCAAUUCUGCUCAUGAAGAGAGGCAGAUUCCACUGUGUGGGCACCGGGAAUAUCUCACGGCUUCCUAGAAUAAAACAGAAAAUGAUCUUUAUUAAAAGACA
rnacentral:lncRNA from 1 species